CCGCGCCCGUCAUUUCACCGCCCUGGCGGCCACGCAAGCCAAUGCGGGCUCGCGUCCCCGCAAAGCACCGCCCCUCCGGCGCGGAGGCUGGGAACUGGCGGUCUGACGCGGCGAGGUGAAAAAUCACCUUGGGGGCCCAGGUUCCCCACGAACAGCUAAUUCUCAGUUCUGGAGGCUGGAAAGUCCAGGGUCAAGAUGCUGGCAUUUGGUCUGAUAAGGGCCUUCUUGCUAUCUCCUUACAUGACAGAAGACAGUCGAACAAAGAUUUAGCUGCUUGGAAUUGAAUUCAUUCUACCACCUUGUCAUCGUUUCUCCCUUGCCAACUACAGCCCUUUUAGCUGACCUAUAGCAAUUAAGGGCUUUCAGGAGCAGCUGCAGAAAUUGCAUAUGCACCACAGCUUUUGCUGCUUUACUAAUGAAUAACAGAAAGCAUUAUGGAGUGCUACAUUUGAAUUAAUAUUUGCUUUCUCAUGUGAGGCUGAUGCUAAAAUGGUAGGCAGUGAAGCUGGAGAGGGUUUUGCUCUGUCGCCAGAGGGCUGGAGGACAAUGAGACAAUCACAGCUCACUGCAACCUCGAACUCUUGGGCUCAAGCGAUCCUCCUGCCUUAGCCUCCUGAAUAGCUGGUACUACAGGUGUGCUCCACUGCACCCAGCUAAUUUUUUUUUCUUGACUUUUUGUAGAGAUGGGUCUUGCUAUGUUGUUCAGGCUGGUCUCCAACUCCUGACCUCAGGAGAUCUUUCCACCUCAGCCUUCCAAAGUGCUGGGAUUACAGGUGUGAGCCACCCCGCCCAACUUAGUAUAACUUCUAUUGAAAAAAUAAUCUUCCUAUAAGUGGACUCAUGCAGUUCAAACCUAUGCUGUUCAAGGGUCAAUUGUAAUUCUAUAUUAUUACUCUACCUUUUCUAUGUUUAGAUACACAAAUACUUACCAUUGCAUUACAAUUGCCAAAGCGUAUUCAGUACAGUGACACGCUGUACGGGUUUGUAGCCUAGAAACAACAGGCUAUAUAACACAUAGCCUAGGUGUGUAGUAUCUAGGUUUGUGUGAUUUCACCCUAUGAUGUUCAAACAAAUAUGAUACCACCUAACGAUGCAUUUCUCAGAGUGUAUCACCAUCAUUAAGUGACACAUGACAGUAUCGCAGCCAGGUCUGCCAAACUCCAGAGUAUGUCCUCUUAAGCUAUUCACGCCACCCUCAAACUGUCUGCCCCAGCCAUAUUGCAUUACUUUCAGCUCCUAGAACUCAUCUGCUCUCCUUGGCAUGAGGCCUUCAUACAUACCGUUCCCUAUGUCCGGAAUGUCCCCUCACAAAUCUCACCUUUACAUGGGUAAUAUUUAUUCAUUUAUCAUGUCUCUGCUUAAAUGUCAUUGCCUCAGGAAAGCUUUCCCUUACUAUCUAAAAUUAAAUUUUAUAUUUGUUUACUUCUUUAUGGUCUGUUUCCCUUUGGUAUGAUGUCAAAAUUGUUACCACUGGUCCUCAGUUCUCAGAAUGACAUUCAGCAGGAGUUCAAUAAACAUUUGUUGCAUAACUGCAAGCAUAAAUGAAUGAUGCUGGGGUGGAAACUCCCUAAACUGAAAACUUCAUCUAUUCAGACUACUGAUGAAAAACAGAAAGAAAGUAUAAAUUUGUUCAUCCACUGGAUAUUUAUUUAGUAG
rnacentral:lncRNA from 10 species